rnacentral:rRNA from 1 species
AUUGAACGCUGGCGGCAGGCCUAACACAUGCAAGUCGAACGAGUGGCGGACGGGUGAGUAAUGUCUGGGGACCUGCCCGAUAGAGGGGGAUAACUACUGGAAACGGUGGCUAAUACCGCAUACUAUCGGAUGUACCCAUAUGGGAUUAGCUUGUUGGUGGGGUAACGGCUCACCAAGGCGACGAUACCGAGCUGGUCUGCGAGGAUGACCAGCCAAACUGGAACUGAAACACGGCCCAGACGCCUACGGGAGGAAGCAGUGGGGAAGAUUGCACAAUGGGCGAAAGCCUGAGGCAGCCAUGCCGCGUGUAUGAAGAAGGCCUUAGGGUUGUAAAGUACUUUCAGCGGGGAGGCGUUACCCGCAGAAGAAGCACCGGCUAACUCCGUGCCAGCCGCCGCGGUAAUAC